rnacentral:rRNA from 1 species
UACGUAGGGGUGCGAGCGUUGUCCGGAUUUAUUGGGCGUAAAGAGCUCGUAGGCGGUUUGUCGCGUCGGCCGUGAAAUCUCCACGCUUAACGUGGAGCGUGCGGUCGAUACGGGGCAGACUUGAGUUCGGUAGGGGAGACUGGAAUUCCUGGUGUAGCGGUGAAAUGCGCAGAUAUCAGGAGGAACACCGGUGGCGAAGGCGGGUCUCUGGGCCGAUACUGACGCUGGAGGAGCGAAAGCGUGGGGAGCGAACAGG